rnacentral:tRNA from 3 species
ACUUUUAAAGGAUAAAAGUCAUCCACUGGCUUUAGGCGCCAUAAACCCU